rnacentral:lncRNA from 9 species
UUGUACUAAAAUGGAAUAAUUUGUUUUAAUUUAAAUGUAGAAAAGGUAUAAUAUAAAAUAUAUGUAUUAUUAUGUCACUAUAUAUAUAUAUAUAUAUAUAUAUAUAUAUAUAUAUAUGGGUUUUUUUUGUUUUUUGGGGUUUUUUUUUUUGCCUUUUCUAGGCUGCUCCCACAACAUAUGGAGAUUCCCAGGCUAGGGGUUGAAUCGGAGCUGUAGCCACCAGCCUACGCCAGAGCCACAGCUACGCAGGAUCCGAGCCAGUCUGCAACCUACUCCACAGCUCAUGGCAACGCCGGAUCCUUAACCCACUGAGCAAGGCCAGGGAUCAAACCCACAACCUCAUGGUUCCUAAUCGGAUUUGUUAACCACUGAGCCACGACGGGAAUUCCUAUAUCACAUAAUAUAUUGCAUAAUUAUAGUAAAUAUGGUUUUAAGUGUAAUAUAAUUUUUUAUGAUGUAUGUAAGACUGAAAAGAAACAACCCAAAUGUUUAUGAUUUACUAUUGACUACCUAUUGUUCUAUAUCUUCCCAGUAUCAUAAAACAAUAGAUAGUAAUUACUUCUAUAAUGAGGAAAGAAUACAAUGCAGGCUACAUGAAGAUGACUUCUGUUCUUCUUAGUGCUCUGUGGAGACCAGAGCUGAGGAUGUCUCUUCUCCAGGUCGGACCUGGACUGUCUGGUUUCCAGACCCAAUUCAGAAAACACCACGCUUCAACAAAGUCUAAAGCUCGUAAUGAAGAAGCUAUAGAUCUGGGAUCUGAGAAGGAUGAACCCACGACCUUCAGGGAAGUGGCCAGGAAGCCGCGAGUUUAAGGGAACCAAACAGGUACCCACGUCUUGUCCUAGUUGCUCCUGGGGGCUGUCGGGGCCUCCUUGGGUUUUGUCUUCUGUCACUAGAAGUGUUCAAAGAUAAAGUAAUGCAUAUUUAAACUUUUAAGAGUUUUUUGGGGGCAAAAGUUCGCUUGACUCGAGUAGCGUCUACUCUAAGAGAUGGAAAGGGGCUCCGGGGAGCUGUGCAGAUGAACGUCUUUUGUAAGCAGACAUGAGGGGGAGUAAGGAGAUUAAUAAGGCAAAAGAGUGGGUUAUUGGUUAUUGCAAAGUUAGUUUCCUUUAGCCGGUGGCAGGGGUCUAUCAGGGGAAUGACCUGACACGUGCUGUUCCGCUGAUUCCUGAUUGGUUUAAAAUUCCGCUUCUGAGGGAGUUAAAACUGUAAGGAAAUGAAGUCUUGGUUUGGUGAUGUAGAGCAUGGCAUAAACAACUCCAUUUUGGGCCUAUUGUCUCGAUUUUAAUCCUUCCUUUUUCCUUUCUUCCUUCCGCCUCUCCUUUCUUCAACAACUAUUGAGUUAGUAUCAGGCAUUCAUGAGCAAAACAAAGCAGAUGUGAUUUCUAAUCUUCUAAUCUAAUGUGCUCAAUUAGUUUUAAUACACUGAUAGGAAAGUAAUCAUUUAUUUGGGUGCCCAGAAGGGUACAUAGUAUAGCCAGGUGGAGGGGAGACUGGAGAUGAGAGAUCAGAGCUUUCCCCCAGGGAGUGACUUCUAAGCUGAAACCUAAAGCAUUGACAAGAGUAAACCAGAUUGGGGGUGAGAGUGGGGCUUGGGGAAAUUCCAAGAAGGAAGGGCCUGAGAUGAAAUAGAAAUUCAGUGUGGGGAACAUCCAUUGUGUGCUGUGAAAUAAAUUAAGAUAAACGAGCCUAGAGAGGUAGAAGGGAGUUAUAAGAUGAAGCCAUAUAAUAGGUUAGAAAUUUAUUUUAAGGGCAAAGGCAAUUCAGAGUCAUUGAAGGGAGUGACAUGGCUGAAUUUGUCUUUAGGGGAAAAAAAUGGUGUGUCUGUAGCACAAGGGCCACUUUAUAAUCACAAUUUUUUAUUGAUCUCAUUAUAUUUUUUAAAUAAAUAAAUAAGUCUAUAAAUAAAUCCAACAGUGGAAAAUGAAAUAGCUUCAAGGAUACUUUUUAAGAGUAAGUGUCAAAACCCAAAAUGAAUCAUCUCAGUGACGACAUAAGGAGAGUUGCAUGCAUCUUGUGUAAUGGAAGAUUUUGAUGAAAAUUCAAAGCUUUGCAUGUAGUAGUUGCACAGUGCAUAUUUGGGAUUAUUAAUAUUCACUUUACACCACUUCAGCAUUGUAUAAGUUUAGAACUUAGUGCUAUCCACAGGCUCUUACUUCAUAAGGCUUUUAUCCUACAGCAAUAAUAACAAUAGUUAAUAAGAACCGGAGAAAAGUGCGAGUGAUAGAGACUUUCUGCACAGCCAGAAUGACUUAGAAACCUACAGAGACAAAGAGUACCCG